AACGAACGCUGGCGGCAGGCUUAACACAUGCAAGUCGAGCGCGUGUAGCAAUACACGAGUGGCGCACGGGUGAGUAACGCGUGGAUAUCUGCCUUUUGGUUCGGAAUAACCCCGGGAAACUGGGGCUAAUACCGGAUGGUUCCUUCGGGAUAAAGAUUUAUCGCCAAAAGAUGAGUCCGCGUACGAUUAGCUAGUUGGUGAGGUAAUGGCUCACCAAGGCGACGAUCGUUAGCUGGCUGAGAGGACGAUCAGCCACACUGGGACUGAGACACGGCCCAGACUCCUACGGGAGGCAGCAGUGGGGAAUAUUGGACAAUGGGGGCAACCCUGAUCCAGCCAUGCCGCGUGAGUGAUGAAGGCCUU
rnacentral:rRNA from 1 species